rnacentral:lncRNA from 1 species
CGGCAGCUUUCACUGGCUCGAUCCUGGACACGAUUUCUGCCAGGUCUGUGAAGGAGGUGCUGGGAUAGGUCACGUUAUCAGAAGUUUUGGUUUUGUGUGUCUCUUGUCUGUCUCGUAGCAUCUUGUCAAGGACGCCGCUCCUGGACCAGACACCAAACACAGUCUUCCCAUGUUGAUAUCCCACUUCACAGAUCUCAUCAAACUUCCCAAAAUCCAGCGUGCCGUAGCGGUCGAUGGGUGGCCGGAUGUACUCGCAGUAGUCGCUGCUCUUCACCAUCUCCAGCUGCCGCACGCACCACACGUACGCGAGCCGUGUUUGGAUCUCUGCCAUGUUCGGCACCUUGACUUUCUCAGCCAGUGGAUUCCACCUCUUCCACAGCAGCCACCAGCCGGACAAGCAGUCACCGUAGUUGGUGAGGUUGGUCUCAUCCCGGCUCCCCACAUCGAUUG